rnacentral:rRNA from 1 species
UACGGAGGGAGCUAGCGUUGUUCGGAAUUACUGGGCGCAAAGCGCGCGUAGGCGGCUUUGUAAGUUAGAGGUGAAAGCCCGGGGCUCAACCCCGGAACUGCCUUUAAGACUGCAUCGCUUGAAUCCGGGAGAGGUGAGUGGAAUUCCGAGUGUAGAGGUGAAAUUCGUAGAUAUUCGGAAGAACACCAGUGGCGAAGGCGGCUCACUGGACCGGUAUUGACGCUGAGGUGCGAAAGCGUGGGGAGCAAACAGG